GAUGAACGCUGGCGGCGUGCCUAAUACAUGCAAGUCGAGCGAACAGAUGAGGAGCUUGCUCCUCUGACGUUAGCGGCGGACGCGUGAGUAACACGUGGAUAACCUACCUAUAAGACUGGGAUAACUUCGGGAAACCGGAGCUAAUACCGGAUAAUAUAUUGAACCGCAUGGUUCAAUAGUGAAGGACGGUUUUGCUGUCACUUAUAGAUGGAUCCGCGCCGCAUUAGCUAGUUGGUAAGGUAACGGCUUACCAAGGCAACGAUGCGUAGCCGACCUGAGAGGGUGAUCGGCCACACUGGAACUGAGACACGGUCCAGACUCCUACGGGAGGCAGCAGUAGGGAAUCUUCCGCAAUGGGCGAAAUCCUGACGGAGCAACGCCGCGUGAGUGAUGAAGGUCUUCGGAUCGUAAAACUCUGUUAUUAGGGAAGAACAAAUGUGUAAGUAACUAUGCACGUCUUGACGGUACCUAAUCAGAAAGCCACGGCUAACUACGUG
rnacentral:rRNA from 1 species